rnacentral:rRNA from 1 species
CCCUUAGAUGUCCUGGGCUGCACGCGCGCUACACUGAUGUGUCCAGUAAGCACCUAACCUCUUCCGAAGGGAACGAACGGGUAACCUUAGCAAAGCACAUCGUGAUGGGGAUAGAUUAUUGCAAUUAUUAGUCUUGAACGAGGAAUUCCUAGUAAGCACAAGUCAUCAGCUUGUGUUGAUUACGUCCCUGCCCUUUGUACACACCGCCCGUCGCUCCUACCGAUUGAAUGUUCCGGUGAAUACUUCGGACUGCGAGGUCUGCAGUUUUUCUGCGUUCCUUGCGGAAAGUUGAAUAAACCUUUUAACAUCUAGAGGAAGGAGAAGUCGUAACA